UACGUAGGGGGCAAGCGUUGUCCGGAUUUAUUGGGCGUAAAGAGCGUGUAGGCGGCCGUACAGGUCAGCUGUGAAAACUCGAGGCUCAACCUCGAGACGUCGGUUGAAACCGUACGGCUAGAGUCCGGAAGAGGAGAGUGGAAUUCCCGGUGUAGCGGUGAAAUGCGCAGGUAUCGGGAAGAACACCCGUGGCGAAGGCGGCUCUCUGGGACGGUACUGACGCUGAGACGCGAAAGCGUGGGGAGCGAACAGG
rnacentral:rRNA from 1 species